rnacentral:miRNA from 3 species
UUUCCAUAGGUGAUGAGUCAC